rnacentral:rRNA from 1 species
CCUACGGGUGACAGCAGUGAGGAAUAUUGGUCAAUGGACGAGAGUCUGAACCAGCCAAGUAGCGUGAAGGAUGACUGCCCUAUGGGUUGUAAACUUCUUUUAUAUGGGAAUAAAAUGUUCCACGUGUGGGAUUUUGUAUGUACCAUAUGAAUAAGGAUCGGCUAACUCCGUGCCAGCAGCCGCGGUAAUACGGAGGAUCCGAGCGUUAUCCGGAUUUAUUGGGUUUAAAGGGAGCGUAGGUGGAUUUUUAAGUCAGUUGUGAAAGUUUGCGGCUCAACCGUAAAAUUGCAGUUGAAACUGGCAGUCUUGAGUACAGUAGAGGUGGGCGGAAUUCGUGGUGUAGCGGUGAAAUGCUUAGAUAUCACGAAGAACUCCGAUUGCGAAGGCAGUUCACUGGACUGCAACUGACACUGAGGCUCGAAAGUGUGGGUAUCAAACAGGAUUAGAUACCCCUGUAGUC